AGCAAAAAUCAGCUUAUUUUCUUCAUUAUGGCCGGCCAAAGCAUGAAGUGAAGAAGAACAAAGACAGAACAAAACCUAGGUGGGAAAAUUGAAGAAAAAGUGUGAGAUUUCAAGGGAUUAAGCUAAUAAAGGUCAAAUUUUGUGAUUUUAUCUUGUGAUUUACACUACCCAUGCUUUCUUUUUCAUUUUUCAUGCUUAGAACUCAAGUUUUCAUGAUGAACCCAUGCUGGCCAAAUUUGAGAGGAGAGGUUUUGAGCAUUGAUUUUGCUAGAUUUCAAGUUAAUUAAGUGUUUUUGGUUGUUUAGUAAUGGAAAGUAUGAAAAUCUAGCAAGAAAUCACUUUGUUCUUCACAAACCCACAAGAGGCUGAAUUUUCUAGGGAGGAUAUUGAGGCUGAAAUUGAUGAUAUUUCAUGAUAUUUUGGUGGUAUUUAAUGAUUGGUGAGGCUAGAAAUUUAAUGGGAAAUUUUAGCAUGAAAAUCUGAAUUUUUACUUAAUGUAUAAACAUGUGCGAUUUAUGGUUCGGACUGAUAAAUUGAAUUAUAUUCACAGUCAUUGAGGUAUUUUAAGUAUAAUUGGAGUGUAGAAAGUGAAAGAAAUCGAUUUGGAGUUAAAUUGGAGGUUUUAGCCAAUUACACCGAGAACAGAGCGAAUUAGGUCAAAGACCGUAUUUAAACGGCUAUUUGGACAUUUUUGCAUUCCAUAUCAUGCAUUAGUAGUCUAAAUUAGUUUAAUUUCAAUUUAGUAUCAAUGUGGUGAAUUUUUCGAUUUUGUACAGUGUCAAGGUGGUGAGUCUUUCGAUAAAGGCAAGAAAAUUGCAUCCGAGGACUAGUAGACAGAGUACUUCGAAAGUCUGCAUUCUAGACAUUGUGAGUAAACUUACUGUCAUUUUAAUUAUCUAGGGUGGUUUUUAGAUGAUUUCAUGAAUUCUAUGAAAAAAUGGAUUUAAAAAGGUAAAUUUUUAUGUUUUAUGAAUAAAGGUGUUCCAAUGAAAUUAAUUUAUAAAUUGUUUUGAAAUUAAUAAUGAUUUUGAAAAAUAGAGUACACGGAGACUGUUAAUUGUGGCAAUUUGAUUGUUUAAAUUGAUGGCUUAUGUUAUAUUGUUAUUGUGUUGGCAUGACUGGCUGGGCUGUGUUUUAUGAAUUGUAUGAAUUGUUUUAUUUUACCCUUGCAGGCUAGGUAGUAUUUCAUUAGCCCUGUGAUGCCAUCAAAAUUUUAUUAUAUGGUGGAUUAUAAAUUAAUUAAUCACUGCAAUAGGGGGUUUUUGUGGACCAACCUUUUAAAGGGGCACAGUAAACCCCAUUAUAUUCUUACCUCGAAUGGAGAGGCACGUAGGGUAGCUCCUAGGGUAAAGCUUAGGGUUCACUUCAAGCCAAACCACCACGUGAGGGGGAACUCAGCCAACGCCAAGGAACGACUAUGUUUCAAAAUAAAAAUAUGAUUUAUGCGAAAUGUGAAUUUUUAACAGCCUUGGCGGUCUCGAUAGGAUGCCUUGGCCAAGGUGUCCCUAAGAAUGGAUUUAUGGCACAAGCCUAGUUUUUAUGAGAUUCAUAAGCCUCUUUACGUAUUUUGAAUGAAAUGUGUUCUAAUAUUGUGACCCAAUUUACGAUGAUUUACUUUAUUGUCUCCGUGUACUCAACUCUAGAUGUUUAUGAUGAUGUCUGUUUACUCAUUGGGAUUUUAUAAUCUCACCACCCUCAUUUCCAUCCAUUUCAGGUUUGGUAUAAACUGUAGAUAGCUGAUCUCAUCGAGGACUACCGUUAGAUCUGUAUUUUCCAAACUAUAGGUUCACAGUCCUCUUUACUUUUGUUUAUUCGGGGGCCCUCUUGUUAUUGUAAAUUAAAUUAAAUACUCUGACUUACUGUAUUACAAUAUGUAUGAAUUUAUUUAGCUUUUAUGCUACAAAUAUUAUUUACGUAUAACUCUAUAAAUAUUGUUUUAUAAGAAAAUAGAAUAUUUUACUUAAUAUUUUUUU
rnacentral:lncRNA from 1 species